CUGGAGAAAACCUGAGCGAUGAUUUAAUGCAGCUCCAUUUGCAAGUCUCAUUGUGACAGCAGACUGUCAUCAAUGCUCUGCAGGGACAGUGCAGGGGAGUGCAGAACCCGUCCAUCAGCAUUGGGAGAGGAUCAGGCUUUUGUAACACAUGGCUGGGCUUCAGGAGGCACACAGGCUCAGGGAUUUGGAGGCAGGUGAUUGCAUUUGCUCUGAGUCUUGGAGAGAACACAAGCCUCAGUCUUGAGCAGAAGAUAAGGAGCAGAAUGACCUUGCAUCCUCCAGCCAUAUACCUGAUGUUAACAGUCGAGGAACCCAAGGCCAACCCAAGGACUGUAUCGUGGUGUGCAUAGACCAAUAGGCAUCCAAUUGAUCAAGCUCAGUGAUGCUCUUGGGAAGAGAGACGACACUGCAGAGAUCCCAUUCAUCAGCUUUAGCAGUUGGGAAAGGAUGGGAGAACAGCUCAUCACAGAGCUCUGCAUCCUGCACCAUGCUCACGUCUGCUGGGAUGCUCUCACUUCAGAGAUGGGUUUUGAAGAGUCAGCGGAGAGCAAAUGAGGUGAUGCCACAUCCUUGCCAGAAGUUAACCGGCCCUGACGCUGCUCACCCCAGUGCUGAGAGGCACCACGAGCUUCAAUGCGAAUUGGCUGCGAACAACUUUGCAAUUCUACUCCUCUGCGUUUUCAUUAUCCAGAAUUAUUCGCUAAACAAUUGCUUGGCAUCAUCCAAGGAAGCAAUGCCUCUGCUGGGGGCAGCGACGCCUGCGAUGGCAAUGCACCAGGGUCUGCCCGGAUGGGGCAGAGCACCGAGUUGCACAGCCCAGUUUUCUCUGCCAUUAGAUGAGCAGAGUUCUACAAAUCAAGUUCCCACCGCAAAGCCUCAUGUUUACAAAUCAGCAGGAGCUGAAACUCGCUGA
rnacentral:lncRNA from 1 species